AUCCAUCCCCACACCACCCUGAAUGUACCCAAUCUCUUCUGAUUUUGGAAGCUAAGCAGGGUCUGGCCUUGCUAGUACUUGCUAGUACUGAUGGUGGGGUCCUCAUGAUGGGACGCCUC
rnacentral:rRNA from 1 species